GAAAUUUGGAUUAGAAACUAUUAUUUUAUUAGUUUAUUUUGUUGUGUUUAAGUGUUGUGUAUUUGUACCUACUGGAUAAUAUUUUCCAACAUAUUUAAUUAAGCAAAAAGCAUCUGUUUUACAGGUGUGACUGCUAAGUGGUCGUACUCGCCACUUUAACCAAGCAUUGGUGGGACCUUCAGAGAUCAUAAUGCGAAUUUCUUCAUACCAUGUAAAUCUAUAUACAUGUAUUAAUAAAUGCGUUUGCUUUA